GCCGGUGCCGCCCGGUGCCGCCCCGCGGCCGGCACUCGCCGCCGGCGCCUCCCCGUGCGCACCGCGCCGCGCCGCGCCGCUCCCCUCGGCGCUGCAGCAGCAUGCGGGGCUCCGGCGGGCGCCGCGCCGCCCUGGCGCUGCUCGCCCUGCUCCUGCCCGCCGCCGCCGCCGGCACCGCCGCCGGCACCGCGGGCACCGGCAAGGCGGGCGAGAGCCCCGGCAAUUUCAUGGAGGACGAACAAUGGCUCUCCUCCAUCUCCCAGUACAGCGGCAAGAUCAAGCACUGGAACCGCUUCCGAGACGUGAGUCCGCCGGGGGGGCGGGCUGCUCCGCCGCUGCGGAUGCCGCAGCCGGGCCCCCCCUUCCCACCCUCCCUCCCUCUCUCCCCGCGUCCCACCGGCACCGCCCGGCCCGGCCCGGCCCCCGGGGCAGCGCCCGCCCGCCCGCGGCAGCACGUGCGGGGCGCGAGGCCGCCGCCGCCGCCCCCGGCACCGCCGCCAUGCCGGGGCUCGACGCCGUGGCCCCGCCAAGGCCCGGCCGCGCGCCCUCGCCGCGGGGCGCGAAAGCCCCGCCGUGGGCAACACCAUCACACGGGUCGCGGGGCUGGACGGUUUCCCGGCAUCUUCCCCUCCUCGUGGCCUUGGAGGUCCCCAAAAUGCCGCCGUGGCCCUGGGACCACCCAUCCCCUAAACCCCCGGCUUUUACGCAGCCUUGAGAAUGGCAGCAGCCCGCCUUCGGUUCCACAUCUUAAUUUCACGCUAUCUGGGGCAAACGGGGAUUUUUGCUGUCCCAGCUCGCACCUCGGGUGGGAGCGGCACGAGGCCGCGGCGGACGGCGGCAUCGGAGGCCCAGCUGGGCGCACACCCACCCCGAUGGCCCCCGCUCGCUCCUGCCUCCCUCUUCCCAGGGCCAAGUGCGGGCCUGGCAUCACGGAUACGGCGCAGCGCCGGGGGGCCGCGACCCUCCCGGUUAAACAAACCGAUCGUGCCGCGGUAGAUGGUGCUAACGGAGCCGGCAGCCCCAGGGCGAGGAUGUGGGGAGGGGGGUGUUUCCCCCCCCACCCCGGUGCUCCCCGGCCGCGACGCAGCAUGAUGCAGGGAUGCUCGGGCAGAGCAUCCCCGUCCCCGGGGGCCUUUGCAGCCCUGCCGGCAGCGAGUGCUGAUUGCCGAGCAAAUCCCAUGGAUUUGCGGGAUUUUUGCGCUGCGGCAUGCCGCGCCGGGAGGGGGGGAGCUGUGUCACCGCGCGCGGUGCUUUUGUCCUCGGCGGGGGGCCGUGGCAUGCCCCAUGCCGCCGGGGGGGCCGCGCUCGGUGCCCACCGCGAGCCGCGCCGCCGGGGAGCGGCCGAGCACUGCAGUGCUGCUAAUCGCGGCGCGGGAGCGCGGGCUGCUGACUGCGGUGGCAACCGCCGCCUUGGAGCCGCAAAAACCCCCCUCGCCCUCUGCCUUCCCGCGGGACCAGCCGCCAGUGCCGGUGCCCCGUGGGGGGGUCCCGUGGGGUGGCUCCCCCUCGGCUCCCCCCGGGCCGUGCCGCGACUCCUCGGCUUGUUCCCGGCGGCAUCGCGGCUGCGGAGGAGCGUCGCCGGCGGCCGGGCCCGAGCGCUGUGUCUCACCGCCCUCUUUCUCCCUCUUUUUUUUGGGUCCGGACCCGGCCGGGCCUCUGCCGCCUGCGCAGGAGGUGGAGGACGACUACAUCAAGAGCUGGGAGGACAACCAGCCCCUCGAUGAGGCCCUGGACACGACCAAGGACCCGUGCCAGAAGGUGAAAUGCAGCCGGCACAAGGUGUGCGUCGCCCAGGGCUACCAGCGCGCCAUGUGCAUCAGCCGCAAGAAGCUGGAGCACAGGAUCAAGCCGCCCGGCCCGAAGGCG